rnacentral:rRNA from 1 species
AUUGAACGCUGGCGGCAGGCCUAACACAUGCAAGUCGAGCGGAUGAAGGGAGCUUGCUCCUGGAUUCAGCGGCGGACGGGUGAGUAAUGCCUAGGAAUCUGCCUGGUAGUGGGGGAUAACGUCCGGAAACGGGCGCUAAUACCGCAUACGUCCUGAGGGAGAAAGUGGGGGAUCUUCGGACCUCACGCUAUCAGAUGAGCCUAGUUCGGAUUAGCUAGUUGGUGGGGUAAAGGCCUACCAAGGCGACGAUCCGUAACUGGUCUGAGAGGGUGAUCAGUCACCCUGGAACUGAGACACGGUGCAGACUCCUAAGGGAGGCAGCAGUGGGGAAUAUUGGAGAAUGGGCGAAAGCCUGAUCCAGCCAUGCCGCGUGUGUGAAGAAGGUCUUCGGAUUGUAAAGAACUUUAAGUUGGGAGGAAGGGCAGUAAGUUAAUACCUUGCUGUUUUGACGUUACCAACAGAAUAAGCACCGGCUAACUUCGUG